GGUAGACGCUACGGACUUAAUUGGAUUGAGCCUUGGAAAUCGUGAGGGUUCAAGUCCCUCUAUCCCCAAAAGGCCCCUUUAAUUC
rnacentral:tRNA from 1 species